UAUGUGAUCGUCUCUCGCAUAUCAAUAAGCGGAGGAAAAGAAACUAACAAGGAUUCCCCUAGUAACGGCGAGUGAAGCGGGAAGAGCUCAAAUUUGAAAUCUUAAAGGGUUUCCCUUUACGAAUUGUAGUUUAAAGAAGUGUUUUCUGUUGAGGUUUUGGUAAAAGUUCUUUGGAAUAGGACAUCAUAGAGGGUGAGAAUCCCGUAUUUGACCUUUACUUUCAACUUUGUGAUACACUUUCAGAGAGUCGGAUUGUUUGGGAAUGCAGUCCAAAAUGGGUGGUAAAUUUCAUCUAAAGCUAAAUAUUGGCGAGAGACCGAUAGCGAACAAGUACCGUGAGGGAAAGAUGAAAAGAACUUUGAAAAGAGAGUUAAACAGUACGUGAAAUUGUCAAAAGGGAAGCGUUUGACACCAGUGUUGUUUUUCUGAAAAUCAAUUAAAGAACUGUUUAUGCUAAGCUGUUUAGACUUUAUCAGCUAUCUGUUUAGUUUUGAGCUUUUCUUUAAUGCACUUUUCAGUUAACAAGUCAACAUCAAUUUCUUUUGCUGUAAAAAAGCUUGAGGAAGGUGGCUUGAGAUUCGUCUUAAGUGUUUAUAGCCUCUUGCCUAUGCAGUCGGAGAGAUUGAGGUCUGCAGCGUAGAUCCUUCGGGGCUAAAUGCAUUUGUGCUAAGUUAUAGCAUUUUAUAGACAACUUGUUGACUAUGAUUUGUCUUGUAGCUUACUCGCUUAUGUUAUUUUACCUACGCUUAGGAUGUUGAGUCGUAGAGCACGCAG
rnacentral:rRNA from 1 species